rnacentral:lncRNA from 1 species
CAAGAAUAAAGCUGCGGACCCUAGUGUUUCCUGAGGCCUCACUAGAAGCAAAUGCUGGUGCCGUACUUCUUGUACAGCCUGCAAAACUGUGAGUGAAAUAAACCUCUCAUCUUUAUAAAUUUCCCAGCCUCAGCUAUUUCUUUAUAACAACAUAAAACAGAUUAACACAGAUGCACAAUUUUUAAAAAUUUUAUAAGAAAAAAUUUGUCUCUUUUUUCUUGUGUUAUCUGUGCCUUUGGUAUCAUAUCUAAGAAAACACUGACAAAUCUAAUGUAGUAAAUCUUUUGCCCUAUAUUUUCUAGUAAGUUUUUUUUUAGUUUUAGGUCUUACGUAUAUACUUUUGAUCUAUUUUGAGUUAAUUCUUGUACAUGGCUUUAGAUAAAGAUCUAUCUCCAUUCUUUUGUAUGAGCAUAUCUGAUUUUCCCAGCACUAUUUUUUGAAAAGACCGCCUUUUCCCUAUUGCGUGGUUGGCAACCUUGCAAAAGAUUAUUUGACCAUAUAUAUGAGGCUUUAUUUCUGAGCUUUCUAUUCUAUUCCGUCUGUCUAUAUGUCUGUCUCUAUGCAGUACCACACUGUAUUGAUUACUGUGGAUUUGUAGUGAGUUAUAAAAUCUGGAAGUAUGAGUUUUCCACACUUCUUUUUCAAAAUUGAUUUGGAUAUUUGGCAUCACUUGAGAUUCCACUUGAAUUUUAGGAUUUUUUUUCUAUUUCUACAAAAAACAUCAUUGAGAUUUGUAUAGAGAUUACAUUGAAUCUAUAGAUUGCUUUGAGUAGCACUGCUAUCUUACUAAUAUUACGUCUUCUAAUUCAUGAACAUAAAAUGUGUUUUCAUUUAUGUUUUCAUUUAUUUCUUUCAGCAAUGUUUUGUAGUUUUCAUUGUGCAAGUCUUUUACCUCUUUAAGUUGUCAAAUAUUUUACAGUUUUUGAUGUUAUUGUAAAUAAAAUUGCUUAAUAAUUUCUCUUUCAGAUUGUUCAUUGUCAGCAUAUAGAAAUGCAAUUGAUUUUCACUUGUUUGUUUUGCAUCCUACUAUUUUGCCGAAUUUAUUUAUUAGUUUUCAAGUUUUUUUGUGUGUGUGGACAUGUAAGUUUAUAUACUCUGUGAAUGGUGAUAAUUUUACUUCUUCCUUUGUAAUUUGUUUGCCUUUUAUAUGUUUUUCUCGUCUGAUUGCUCUGGCUAGAAUGUCCAGUGAUAACUAUGUUGACUAAAAAUGGUAAAAGUGGUUAUCCUUGCCUGGUUCUUCAUCUUGGGGGAAAAACUUUUAGUCUUUUACUGUUGUGAUGUUUACUGCAGGUUUUUAACAUAUGCCUUUAAUUAUGUUGAGAUAUUUCAGUCUAUUCUUAUUUUGUUGAGAAUUUUUAUCAUGAAAGGAUGUUGAAUUUUCUUGAAAGCUUUUUCUGUGUCAAUUGAAAUAAUUAUGUGUUUUUUUCUUUAUUCCAUUAAUAUUGUAUAUUACAUUGAUCAAUUUUUGUAUGUUGAAUUAUCCUUGCAUUCCAGGAAUAAAUUCUACUUGCUCAUUGUGUAUAAAACUUUCAAUAUACUGCUGAAUUUGAUUUUCUGUUUUUUUGGUUGAGAAAUUUUAGGUAAAUGCUCAUAAGGAAAAUUGAUCUGUAGUUUUCUUGUAGUAAUUUCAUCUGACUGGUAUUAAGAUAAUGUUGGCCUUAUAGAAUGAGUUUGGAAGUAUUACCUCCUAUUCAAUUUUUAGAAAAGUUUGAGAUGGACUGGUUUAAUUCUUUAAAUGUUUGGUAGAAUCAUCAGUGAAACUAUCACAUCUAGGACUUUGCCUGAAAAUCUUUGAUUGUUGAUUCAAUCUCCUUACCAAUUGCAGGUAUAUUCAGAUUUCCCAUUUCCUUGUAAUUUAGUCUUGGUAGAUAUUGCACUUCUAGAAAUUUUUUGUUUCAUCUAGGCUAUCUAAUUUGUUGGUGCACAAUUGUUCAUAGUACUUUUUAAAUAAUACUUUUUAUUCCUGUAGAAUCGGUAGAAAUAUCUCCACUUUCUUUUCUGAUGUUAU